rnacentral:rRNA from 1 species
AGUAACACGUAGGUAACCUGCCCAUGUGCCCGGGAUAACUUCUGGAAACGGAUGCUAAAACCGGAUAGGUAGCAGACAAGCAUUUGACUGCUAUUAAAGUGGCUAAGGCCAUGAACAUGGAUGGACCUGCGGUGCAUUAGCUGGUUGGUGAGGUAACGGCCCACCAAGGCGACGAUGCAUAGCCGGCCUGAGAGGGCGGACGGCCACAUUGGGACUGAGACACGGCCCAAACUCCUACGGGAAGCAGCAUG